CUAAAGACACACACACAACGACCUUAAAAAACUUUAUUUUAUCCUUUUCUCGCACUAAGCUUUGCGUCUUGAAUGGUCAGCUAACAGUGUUGCUGUUUGUAUGUUUGUUCUCAAAUGAAACGAAACGCAGUCUUAUCAAUGUCGAAACAGAGUUAACAAAACGUAACUUAUGACUUUGACAAUCAACACGACAUCAUCUGUGCCGUUGAUUGACGUCACGUCAUCGUCGUGCGUUCUCAUUAUUUUUAUUUAUUUCGCAACUUCCAGAAUAUCGUCCUUAUUUUGUACUUUUUACCCAAAACCGCUGUAAAUAUUCUUCAUCUUAAAUAUGGAUAACCAGUACUACUACAAGUUAAUGGCUAGCUACCUGUCGAAACGAAACUGCGACGAGUCAUUCAUGAGAUAUUUCUUUGGCAAGAAUUCAUUGAAGAAGACCCCAGAGGAGCUCGAACGAGCCGACGAAAGAAAAAGAAGAUUACAGCGGGAACGAUCGAGGAGAUAUCGCGCUCUUAAAAACGCACGGCGGCAGCACGAAGGAAGUGGGACCGGUGGUAGCGGUGCUCGUGACGCCAGUGACACCGAUAGCAGCGUGGUCCGCUCCAAAUCGCGCACUCUCAUGCUUGAAGAGGAAUUCAGCGACGGUGACGAACCCCCGACCCUGUGCGACCUCAACUACGACGACAAGUGGCGAGCCACUUCUUCCGAUUGUGCUUCCGACGACAACUCGGCGCAGUCGGCGCCCGAGCUCAAGGAAACUCCCUUAUCCGGUGACGUGAGCCUGAGCCUGAAAGAGUUCCUGAGCUCUCCCAACGCUGAGCUGGACUACCCGACCGUGCACAGCCUGAUGUUCCACUGGCUGCAGACGUAACAUCGCCGCGCCGAGCACCUCGAGUGCGGAGCCUCAUGGUUCGUAUCAUAUCAUUUAAUUCUAACUUGUGUUGUCAUCUUUAUCCUGUUUUAUCAUUAUGGUCUUUUCAAAAAUUUGAACUUUUACCAUUGAUGAAAUGUAUAGUAUUUUGAUGUGAUAGUAUUAUACAUAUCACAUUAUAAAGUUUAGAGUGCUGCUUCUUUAAGGUGUAUCGACAUACUGCACAUCAAAUCAACCGAACCGUCCUGCUAUAAUUUUAAUCUGACUAAUAAUUAGCUAGUAAUUCUCUAUUACUUCAUUGUAUUGUACCUAGUAGGUAGAGUAGAUCAGGUGUGAUUGUACCUAACUCUCCUAUAAAAUCAAUCAAAACAUAUGGCUCUUCUUUUUCUACAUUAUUUAAAUUAGAUUUUCAGACUUGAUUAUUGAUAAAUUUCAGUUGCCAUUGAUAUUUUGAACAUAUUUUGCAAAUUAGGUAGUUGAACCUGUGAGAGUUUAUAAGUUCAAUUUACAAUUUUAGUAGUCAUAAGCCUUUAUAGUUGAUAAACAACGAGUUGUUGUGAGGAGAGCCCAUGGCUCAGUUAGCUGUAGAAUAUUCCACUAGACAAUAAGUUGUUGUUAAGUUGCCAUAUCCUAAUAUUUAGAUACUCAACUAUUACUUAUACAUAAUUAUAUAAAUAUAUAUGCACAUAGAGAUGUAUAGAUUAUAAUAAACCUAUAGUUUGUGAUACGGAUGAAUUUACAUUUUGUGUGAAUCUACAAUAUUAGGUUGUAAUAUGCAUAUAGGGUAAGAGAACAGGCAACUAGCUGUGAUUGCCUUUUGCCAUAGAAUGUGCACACUGCUGAGUGCCUGCCGCGCCAGGCGGGCCGUGCCCGGGCGUCUGGUCGUUGCGGGGCUCAACAUUCCUCUUGGGUGCAAAUACAUGCUUUUAUUUUUCAAUGUAUGUGUAAUCUUUGGGCCAUGAUUCAAACGUGCAUUUAUUUAGAAAAUACUCAAAAAUAUUAUAAUAUUAUGCUCUCUUGUUCUAAUUCUUUUUUUUUAUGAAUUGUCAUUAUGUAAAAAAUAUUGCAAAUGGAGUUCAACCUUUAUUUUUAAUAUCAUUUCUGCCAUAAUUUAUAAAUAUUUUUUGUAAUUUUAUACAUUUGUAGUUUGUAGUUAUUAUAAAUAAUCUAUUUUAUUCAUAGGGAUUGUGGUUAUGGUUUCAAUAAGUGUAGUUUGUAUUUUAUUUUCUUAAUUAGCUACAAAUUAUUAAGGUAAUUAUUUUAAUUUCCCUUGUUAUUGGACUUUCUAACUGAAUAAAAAUUAUUUAUUAUACAUACACAAGUAAACAUCAUAAUAUCUGCUUUAUUGCAUCAGUUGAUCAAUUUGUGUUGUUAUACUUUAUAACAAUAUGGUGCAGCUUUAAUAAUAUUAUAGGUACUUGGUGCUUACUGGUUUUCUGGUUUUUAGAAAUGCACAAUAAUAUAAAUAGUGUCCAUUUCAUUGGAAGUGAAAUAAAUACAGUGUAAUUACAUUCAAAAAUUACAUGGUUUUCCCGAUUUUGCCAUGUAGAGCACCAUUGUUAAUCAUUUUUAUUUGUGAAUAUGGAAUUACAUUCCUACAGUAAAGUUAGUUUGUUGGAAUCAUUUAUCUAUUUAUUUAUCUAUCAACAAUGUACAAUAUUUUAAUAAGGUGGUUUUUACUUUUCUGUUAUUUUAUUUAAAUUAGUUAGUUGUUAUAAUAACUAACUAUUAUACAAGGCGCGCUUACACGGACAAUGUUACAUAAUGUAAUAACAUUUUUGGCAAAUUCAAUUAUUAGCAAUAGGAUCCCCCGACUGGUCCAGUCUAGUGCCCACCCCAAAAAAAUAAUCUAUGUUUAGAAAUAGCAAUUUAUGAUUUACAAACUUUCAACCAAUUGAAAGUUAGCAUUUCGUGGAGAGUGAUGAUGGUUUAUUAUUAUUCCCCUCUACUGAAACCGAACGACCAGUAUUACGUUUAUUACUUAAAACCCGGAGGAGUUAACUGCGCACCUGGCAGCCGUGACGACAUUUAGACGCUGUACGGGACGGGGCGUACGCGGGGAGCUGUGCGGGUAAGUGGGAGGGAGAGUCGCAUUCCAGCGAGAUGCGCAGUUAGCUCAAUCGGGUUGUACUUAGAUAGACCUAGUCUAUGGCGAUUAAUAUCCAUAUUCCUAGCGUUAAAUCCACCCACUGUACACUGUUAUGCGCAAUAAAGUUUAAAAUAAAUGAAAGUCAUGAUUCUGGGCAUAAAUAAAUAUAUCAUUAAGGUCCAUGCAUUAACCACAGACAUUUUGCCCUUAGCAUGAUUAGAUUCUGGCGUUGUAGUCGGCGGCAAUUAUUGUAGGCGCUUUACAAUGCUGCAAAAAAUUUUUCACUUCGCCCCAGAAUUUAAUAUGCUCUUGUAAUAUCGCCUUUACAAUACUUACUAAAUAUUAAAAUUUUAGUAUAAAGAGGAUUGGUACUUAGAUCUCACGAUCGGAUUUAAAAAAUUGGUUUAUUUUAUCCCUACUUAGGUACUACUCGUAAUCUCUAAUAAAUUAUGUGAAUAUUAUAAAUGAGAAAUUAACUCUUGUCCGUCUGUUGCGCUUUCACGCCUAAGUAAACUACUAAAGCGAUUUUGAUGAAAUUUGAUUAGAAAUAGUUUUGACUUCCGGGAAAGGAUAUAGGUAGGAUUCUUCUUCUUAUUCGUUACGCUCUUGGCAGAGCGGUCGUGGUCACGUUGAGGCGUUCACAUCGGUUGUAGAGGCGGAUACAACUCUCCGCACGAUCUCCCUCCAUCUCUCUCUAUUGUCAGACUGUCUGGUGCAGUCACAUACGCCGUCUCCCACUGCUGUACUGCUUUUUUUGUAUAUCUUACUUACUUAAUGCCCAUCCACUUUACAGUAGCCAUCUACUGUGUCGUUAAGGUGUAAUUACCAAUAGUUUUGUUAUUACAUUAUUGGUGCAUUGUCCGCAAUCUUUACCGUUUUGAUUGAAUACAGAGACAAUCUCUACAUUACUCUAUUGCUUCAAUAAAUAAAUACAGUAGAACGCCGAUUAUCCGAAUUAAUUGGGACCGGGGUCGAUUCGGAUAAUCGAAAAUUCGGAUAAUCGGACAUAGACUGGUAAAAGGGAAAAACCAACUGUCACACAUAGAAUAAACUUUAAUUAUGUUAACAAUCAGAUAUAUUUCCUACUUGGCGUUAUUGUAGAACUGCUACAAUAACGCUCAGUUGAAAUAUAUCCGAAUUCCAACAAAAAAAAAACAAAAAUUACUUGGUUUUAAUUUUUUAUAUUACGCUUAGGACCGAUUCGGAUAAUAAUUGGCGAUUCGGUUAAUCGGCGUUCGGAUAAUCGGCGUUCUACUGUAAUAAAGUAGGUGCAGCAUAACCGAAUAGUUUCCGGAGUUUGUGCAGCAACGGUAUUGGUGAGCAUAUUAUUUUGAGCCUAAUUGCGCCCUAAAAAUAAUUUUUCAGUAUUUUUCGAGUCUCCUCGGAAUUCGGAGUUAUUUCAGUUUCAAUUAUUAUAAGGGCGACGUUAGUCACAGUGAAGACGCGACGCGGCGCGGCGUCAAGUGUUUACGGCUAUAAAGUUUCCGAGUGCGGCCUCUGGCUGGAUCUACAAUCUACAUACCUAUCUUGUGUGUUCAGUGUGCUGUGUUACUACACCUAAUUAAGUUACUACCUUUUAAACAAUAAUUAUAAUUUGCAAUGGAGAGUUUAAACGGUUAAGAUUGCGAUGCGCCAGCAGUUAGCGAUGCCUUAUGUGUAUUUUAGAUUAUAAUUAAUGCUUAGAUAGGUACUUUAAGGUAGUGCCAUAUUAAAGAGCUUCCUGACUAUUUUUAAUUGGUGUUUCAGUUAUUCCAUUUUCAUAAAGAACCAGCGAUAUUAUAGAUAGGUACCGCGAUAGCACCUCAACUUUAAACAAAAUACGAAAUUAUCACAAGAUUCAAUAUUUUUAUAAGAUUGUAAUUAUAAGAGAGCUUUAUAAAAUAAAAGAAAUUCAAUGUCA